rnacentral:rRNA from 1 species
CAACCGGUGGAGUAUGUGGUUUAAUUCGAUACAAAGCGAAAAACCUUACCCAGAUUUGACAUGUACCUGCACGGCUAUGGAAACAUAGCUUUCUUCGAGAGUGGUACACAGGUGAUGCAUGGCUGUCGUCAGCUCGUGUCGUGAGACGUCUACUUAAGUGUAGUAACGAGCGCAACCCUUGUUCUGUGUUAUAAGUGUCACAGAAGACUGCCUUUGUUAUACAAAGGAGGAAGGAGAGGAUGACGUCAAGUCAGCAUGUCCCUUACAUCUGGGGCAACACACAUUCUACAAUGGAGCCGACAACAGGUCGCAACGGGGCAACCCCGAGCUAAUCCUCUAAACGGCCCCUCAGUUCGGAUUGAGGGCUGCAAUUCGCCCUCAUGAAGCCGGAAUCGGUAGUAAUCGCAAAUCAGCAUGUUGCGGUGAAUACGUUCUCGCUCCUUGUACA